CAGUAGCCACGGGAAUACAGAGGGUGCGAGCGUUAAUCGGAUUUACUGGGCGUAAAGCGUGCGUAGGCGGCUUCUUAAGUCGGAUGUGAAAUCCCUGAGCUUAACUUAGGAAUUGCAUUCGAUACUGGGAAGCUAGAGUAUGGGAGAGGAUGGUAGAAUUCCAGGUGUAGCGGUGAAAUGCGUAGAGAUCUGGAGGAAUACCGAUGGCGAAGGCAGCCAUCUGGCCUAAUACUGACGCUGAGGUACGAAAGCAUGGGGAGCAAACAGGAUUAGAGACCCGCGUAGUCCCUGUCUCUUAUAC
rnacentral:rRNA from 1 species